rnacentral:rRNA from 1 species
UACGAAGGGGGCUAGCGUUGCUCGGAAUCACUGGGCGUAAAGCGCACGUAGGCGGCUUUCUAAGUCAGGGGUGAAAUCCUGGAGCUCAACUCCAGAACUGCCUUUGAUACUGGAGAGCUUGAGUCCGGAAGAGGUGAGUGGAACUCCGAGUGUAGAGGUGAAAUUCGUAGAUAUUCGGAAGAACACCAGUGGCGAAGGCGGCUCACUGGUCCGGUACUGAUGCUGAGGUGCGAAAGCGUGGGGAGCAAACAGG